rnacentral:lncRNA from 1 species
AUGUCAUUCAUUAUUCCAACCCAACUCCCAAACACGCCUUACCCAAAAGUUAGAUUGAAGUCGUGUAAACAUAAACAAAAACCCAGACACUCCUCUCUCUCAACCGCGAACCCUAUCCCCAAAUCGUUCCCUUGAAAGUGAUAUUGUAGAGAACCCUACCCCCUAAAUCCAAACUCCAUCAUAAUCAGAGGUAAACCGUGACCACAAAGCUUGGAUUUGCGAAGAUUGACUGUUCAAACGUUGACAUGGAUUGAAGAAAUAGGGGUAAUUCCAUUUUUUUUUCUAACUACGAUGCUAUCAAUCAUUUGGAAUGAAAUUUCAUUCUCUAGAUGACCUUUUAGUGAUAUAGAUACUUGAUGAUGUUAAUUUAUAGCGUUAAACGUGUUUUGUAAUUUUCAUUUAAUGGAUUAUUGAUGAAACGCAUGGAAAGCUGACAGGUUGUGCUAUUCUUUGUUCAAAUGUAUGUUAGGAAUCAAGUGCACUGAGGAGAAUUUCUUUAUUCCAAGUGACUGACUGUGGUUUAUUUUAGACCCUUUAGAUGUUAUAUUGUUUGUCUUCUGGCGAUGAAAAAUUAAAUUUGUUUUGGUUUAUGUGGCAACUGAUAUUAUUCACCAGAUAUAAAUAGCAUAGUAUCUAAUAGCUUCAGUGACUUCAUAAUAAAAGUGUCGUGCUUCUAAUUUUUGGAGGUUUAUAUGUGUAUCGUCUCAAAUGUUUCUUCAUAUUAUGACUGUUGGACCUGUGUUUUUAAGUGAAUCUAUUCUGAGCAUAUAUUGAUUUAAUGUUUGGUGGAUAAACCAGGUUUAUUACAUUCAGAAUAACAGAUAUAAGUGGCAUUGUAGAAGUAUCUUGGACAUCUAGCUUUGUAGAAAUACCUCUUUGAAUUAGUAACUGUAUUUAUCAAAAUUGUCCACAUUUUAACUCUUUGGUGAAUUAUUUUCUACAUAACACGAAUGUUGACAUUCUUCUGUAUCUUUUUGUUGUGUAGGAAAGAAAAAGGGAAUUUCUCACUGUUAUAAAUAGUCGGGACACCAACUGUGGGACUGCCAAAAAAAGUAGUGAUGUCGAAAUUGUGCUUCAAGCUUUCUGAAAUGGAUGGAAGUAGAAAAGAAGACCGAAAACAUAGGUCUGUUAUUCAUUUGGGUCAAUAUGUAAAUGUUGGGGGAAAUACAAUCCUACACCUCUAAUUGCCGAUCUGUCGACUGUGUUCAAACAUUUUGCUGAAAUCCAUAUGCAAGGGAAAGGGAGCUAUGGAAGAGAACGGGAAAAAAAUUGAAGGGAUUUUUUAAUGUAGUCUGUCUAUGUACUUGGUGAGAAUUAGUUUUUUAUUUCAUGUCCAUAACCACGUACGUUGAUUCAGUUCGGCUCAAUUAAUAAGCACGAAAA